GCGACGCGGUUACUAACUUCAAACCAUUGUCGGAGACGGAGGAGGACGAUAUCGAAGCCGCGUUCUUGAAUUCUCAUUCCAAGGCGGAGAUCGUGGACAUGCUGAGGAAACACACGUACAAUGAUGAGCUGGAGCAAAGCAAGCGAAACUACGGGUUGGACGCGAAUGGGAAGAGGAGCCGAGCCGAAGGCCUCAUGACUCCAUUCGGGUCAGACCGGGUCACCAAAUCCCGGGAGCAGCUCUUCGAGAAGACGGUGACGCCCAGCGACGUGGGUAAGCUAAACCGGCUGGUGAUACCCAAACAACACGCGGAAAAGCACUUCCCCUUGCAGACUGGAACCACAUCCAAAGGGGUGCUUCUGAAUUUCGAAGACAUGGGCGGGAAAGUAUGGAGGUUUCGAUACUCGUACUGGAACAGCAGCCAGAGCUACGUUCUGACCAAAGGGUGGAGCCGGUUCGUGAAGGAGAAGAACCUUAAGGCGGGAGACAUUGUGAGUUUCCAGAGAUCGACGGGAGGGGACAAGCAGCUGUACAUAGACUGGAAGGCCAGAAACGGCCCGACGAAUCAGAUCAAUCCGGUAGAGCCGGUGGAGAUGGUGAGGUUAUUCGGAGUCAACAUUUU
rnacentral:lncRNA from 1 species